CAGGAGGUAGCAUAGUGGUUAGUGCUGGUGCCUUGCACUCAAAGGAUCAAGGUUUGAAUCCUACCUCCUUCUGU
rnacentral:tRNA from 1 species